GACGAACGCUGGCGGCGUGCUUAACACAUGCAAGUCGAACGGAAAGGCCCUGCUCUUGCUGGGUGCUCGAUUGGCGAACGCGUGAGUAACACGCGAGUAACCUGCCCUUGUCUUUGGGAUAACUUCAGGGAACUGGGGCGAAUACCGCAUAGGAGCUCCUGCUGCAUGGUGGGGGUUGGUAAGUUUCGGCGGUUGGGGAUGGACUCGCGGCUUAUCAGCUUGUUGGUGGGGUAGUGGCUUACCAAGGCUUUGACGGGUAGCCGGCCUGAGAGGGGGACCGGCGACAUUGGGACUGAGAUACGGCCCAGACUCGUACGGGAGGCAGAAGUGGGGAAUAUUGCAGAAUGGGCGGAAGCCAGAUGCAGCAGCGCCGCGUGCGGGAUGACGUCUUUCGGGGUGUAAACAGAUUUCGCAUGUGACGAAGCGUGCGUGACGGUAAUGGGUAAAGAAGCACCGGCUAACUACGUG
rnacentral:rRNA from 1 species